rnacentral:rRNA from 1 species
ACUCCUACGGGAGGCAGCAGUGGGGAAUAUUGCACAAUGGGCGCAAGCCUGAUGCAGCCAUGCCGCGUGUGGUGAAGAAGGCCCUUCGGGUUGUAAAGCACUUUCAGUUGUGAGGAAGGUUGGUGUCGUUAAUAGCGGCAUCCAUUUGACGUUAGCAACAGAAGAAGCACCGGCAUAACUCCGUGCCAGCAGCCGCGGUAAUACGGAGGGUGCGAGCGUUAAUCGGAAUUACUGGGCGUAAAGCGCAUGCAGGUGGUUUGUUAAGUCAGAUGUGAAAGCCCGGGGCUCAACCUCGGAACUGCAUUUGAAACUGGCAGACUAGAGUACUGUAGAGGGGGUA